CCAGUCACCGUGGUAACUGCCAGAAAAAUUCUCCUGAAGUUUGAAGAGGUCAGCAAACAGGGUCAACAACUCUGGCCUCUUUCCGAGAUGGGCCUGGCAGGCCCCAUCCUGCAGUUGGAGUGCUAGGCUGGGCCUAGCCCUGGGAGGUGGGCUAUUCCAGCUCUGAUAUAAAUUUUUUGAGUCAGUUCAUGGCCUGGACUCUCCAGGUGGCCUCCAAAAUCGAUUGUGACCUCCUGACCUUGUCUAACGGAGGCAUAGCAUCCAACCUAAGUAAGGAUUUAGCCAGGACUGACAGCUUUCCACUGAGUGUUAUUGGGGACAGUACAAACAGUUUUGGAAGCAAAGAGGGCUUUGGUAAAAUGUAUUCACAUGGAAAGGUCCAUUGACUUCAGUGGGACUCCUUGCGUGGCUGGAUCCUGAUUUUGGCAGGCAGCGGAAUCCAUGUGUGACUUGCUGUGGGAGUAUGAAGAGGCCAUAAAGCAGACAUACCUGCCAGAAC
rnacentral:lncRNA from 1 species